ACACUCCGCUUGGGGCUAACCAUGGCUGUGAAGACGGCACACAGACAUUCUGAGACGCGAACUGCAUCUGGCAUGAACUAACUGCGAACAUUCUUAGAGAAGAGCCACAUAGGGGCAUCUGGAUCUUUUUUGAAAAAAUGUAAAAUAGCAAUACAGAAACAUUUUAUUCAUUCAAAUCAAAUUACGAACAAUCCUGAGUUCUCUACAAGCUUCAGUUCAAAACAGACCUUUGAUGUCUUUCAAGUUUAAAGCACUAUUUUCAAUUGUGACUUUUAGAGUUGGAAGAGCCCUGGCAGUUUGAACUCAAGUAAAUGAUGCUUCUGGAGUUUCCAUAUCUGAGUUCUUCUGGCAAUGAUGGCCAGAAAGAAAGGAGAAGAAAGGAAACCACCAGUAGCUGUCUUUCUGCUGCCUGUCUGAGUACAGCCAAUAAACGGGAUUGAGUGGCAACUAACAAAAACUAACUUACUCUUGUCAAAAAGAUCUCCACAUCAGAGAACAAGACCUGGAAGCUGUAAGAAGCCUGGAUCCACACAAAUGGCUGCUUAGCAUUCAAAUACUCCCCUCCCAGAACACUUGAUGUGUUUCUUGAAUAUCUGACUUACUCUGCUGGCCAUCUACUGACAAAAGGAAUCUCUCCCCAGAUGAAAAUUUCUCUGGCUCUUUCUCUUUGUUUGUUUUUGGUGUUGUUUAAGAAACAGCAUUUCGAAUUCCCUCAGCCUUCCAAGAAAGCAGGCAGAUGUGUAAAUUAGAUUCCAAAGCACUAAGACUUCUACAUCUUAAUAAGCUGGGACGCAACCAUGCCCUGGAAGCAAAAGUGAAUAGAAUUCCCACAUUCACGAAGGGUCUACUGUUGAUUUUCUAAAAAGGAACAAAACGGUAACCAGAUGGUAGUUGACAGGGCAACUUUAAAGACAAGUAUUUGUUUUGAUCUCAUUCCUAAGGGAAAGAAAGUUAGAUAAUUAAUAGCAGGAAAGAACAGGAGAGAAAGGCAAGAGAAGAAGAAAUACCAAAGAUAAUGUAUAAAGGGAAAUGUGAGGAGCAAUGGAUGUUGGAAAAUAAAGGGAAAAUUUAGCCAGUUCUAGAAAAAUAGAAAAUGGGAUGAAAUGAAAUAUAACUGCACAUUUUUCAUGAAAUGGUUGCCUAGGAAACAACUAGGAGUGUUUCUCCCUGUACUGAAUAAUUGUUGAGAAACACACUGGACUUAGGGUCUCUUGGCUUUACUGGUAUCAACUGGGAAACUUAUGUGUCAGGUAUCGUAGUUAUGAGCACCAAUACUUUCUAUAUCAUGCUUCUAACAACAGAAGUAGCCAGUUUCAACAAUUUUGGAGGGUAAUAGCAGAGGAAUUGUAAGAUUGAAACCUACAAACACAGGCAGGGUGAGACUUGAAAAUCAGAUUAGUCUAGGAUGACGAUGACACAUUAGUAUGUGUAACACUAAGCAACAAACCGUGGAAAAGUCAAUUAGAAAAGCAGCUGAAGGCCCAUUUGGCAAUGUGAGAUCAUCUUUACAGCUUGCCCGGUAUCCCGUUGAAAACCAGUUUUCCAUAUAAAGAACUUGGUGCACUUAAAGUCAUAUAAUGUGAAGGCAAAAUUUCACAUUACAAAGCAGUUCUUCAUCUUCCGUUAGCGUACAGCCCCUAUGGAUCUUAUUAUCACUUUUUUGCUUUUAAUCUAAUAAAAACAAACAGCAUUAAAAAAUGCUUUACUGCUCC
ensembl:lncRNA